rnacentral:rRNA from 1 species
GGGUUGUGAGGUUAAGCGACUAAGCGUACACGGUGGAUGCCCUGGCAGUCAGAGGCGAUGAAGGGCGUACUAAUCUGCGAUAAGCGCCGGUAAGGUGAUAUGAACCGUUAUAACCGGCGAUACCCGAAUGGGGAAACCCAGUGUGAUUCGUCACACUAUCAUUAACUGAAUCCAUAGGUUAAUGAGGCGAACCGGGGGAACUGAAACAUCUAAGUACCCCGAGGAAAAGAAAUCAACCGAGAUUCCCCCAGUAGCGGCGAGCGAACGGGGAGGAGCCCAGAGCCUGAAUCAGCAUGUGUGUUAGUGGAAGCGUCUGGAAAGGCGCGCGAUACAGGGUGACAGCCCCGUACACAAAAGCGCAUGUGCUGUGAGCUCGAUGAGUAGGGCGGGACACGUGGUAUCCUGUCUGAAUAUGGGGGGACCAUCCUCCAAGGCUAAAUACUCCUGACUGACCGAUAGUGAACCAGUACCGUGAGGGAAAGGCGAAAAGAACCCCGGCGAGGGGAGUGAAAAAGAACCUGAAACCGUGUACGUACAAGCAGUGGGAGCCCCACCACCAAAGCAUUUGCUGUACCGCGUUGACGGAGCGAAGCGACGUCAAACCGAUAAAACAGC